GCCGGGAUAGCUCAGUGUCAGAGCGGCGUUUUUGUAAAGCGUGGGUCGGAGGUUCGAUUCCUUCUCCCGGCACCA
rnacentral:tRNA from 1 species